GAUGAACGCUAGCGGCAGGCCUAAUACAUGCAAGCUGAACGGUAAAUGUUGUAGCAAUACGAUAUGAGAGUAGCGUAAGGGUGCGUAACACGUAUGCAAUCUACCCGCAACAGGAGGAUAGCUCCCCGAAAGGGGAAUUAAUACUCCAUAAUAUCCCGAGAGGGCAUCUGAUUGUGAUUAAACUACAAGGGGUUGCGGAUGAGCAUGCGUCUGAUUAGUUAGUUGGUGAGGUAACGGCUCACCAAGACGAUGAUCAGUAGGGGAACUGAGAGGUUGAUCCCCCACACUGGCACUGAGAUACGGGCCAGACUCCUACGGGAGGCAGCAGUAGGGAAUAUUGGUCAAUGGGUGAGAGCCUGAACCAGCCAUGCCGCGUGCAGGAAGACGGCCUUCUGGGUUGUAAACUGCUUUUAUCUGGGGAUAAAAUAUCCUUGCGAGGAGAAUUGAAGGUACCAGAGGAAUAAGCCACGGCUAACUACGUGCCAGCAGCCGCGGUAA
rnacentral:rRNA from 1 species